GUCUGGCAUGGCCAUCGCAGACAUCACCCUCCUGAGUGGAUUCCACGCCCUGAGGGCUGACCUGGAGAAGCUGACCUCCCUCUCUGACCGUUACGUGAGUCACUUUGAGACUGACGGGCCCCAUGUCCUGUUGUACUUUGACUCGGUCCCAACCUCCCGGGAGUGUGUGGGCUUCGGAGCCUCGCAGGAGGUGGCCGUGGGACUGGUGCAGCCAGCCAGCGCUGUCCUGUAUGACUACUACAGCCCCGAUCACAAGUGUUCUGUGUUUUAUGCUGCACCCACCAAGAGUCAGCUCCUGUCCACCCUGUGCUCUGGAGAUGUCUGCCAGUGUGCUGAGGGGAAGUGUCCUCGACUGCUAAGGUCACUGGAGCGAGGGGUGGAGGACAAGGACGGUUACCGGAUGAGGUUCGCCUGCUAUCAUCCCCGAGUGGAGUAUGGGUUCACGGUUAAGGUUCUCCGAGAAGAUGGGAGAGCUGCCUUCCGCCUCUUUGAGACCAAGAUCACCCAAGUCCUGCAUUUCAGUAGGAAGGAGAAGCGGGCGGGCGGGCAGGCUGGAGAGUGGUGGAGGCUGAGGUCUGGGUGUGGGGCCCCUUGGAAAUGGGAAAACUCAAAGUCUGAAUGUGACCCCCACCAUCCUGCCAUCUCCCUAGCCCCUGGUCGUUGGGAACCUGGGCUUGCUCAUAGUGAGCAACAAGUUCUGUAGGGAGCAGCGUGGGUUAAACAGCAGGAUCUACAGAGUCCUACCCUGGAUUUCUCCUGGCCCUUUCUUCUCCUCUGAUGGCUCCAUCUCUUUAUUCCCUCAGGAAAGGACACCAUGGCCUCCAUAGGACAGACCCGCAACUUCCUAAGCAGGGCCUCUUGCCGCCUUCGUUUGGAGCCUAACAAAGAGUACUUGAUCAUGGGGCUGGACGGGGAAACCAGUGACAACAA
ensembl:processed_transcript